rnacentral:rRNA from 1 species
AUGGCCGUCGCCCCGUCGCCGCAAGCCACGGCGGCCGCCGCCGCCCUCUCCAGGCACAGAUCCGCCGCCGUCCCACCAGUGCCGAGGAGCGUGCGGGUGGCCACCGCGGCGAGGAGGCCGGGCUGGACGCGGGCGAGGGCCGGGCUGGUGGCCCGCGCCGUUGUUGCAGCCAAGGGUGAGCUUGCGAGCUCCGAUACGGGCGGUCAUGAGGUUUUGAUGUUUGAGGCCCUUCGUGAAGCCAUGAUAGAGGAGAUGACUUUGGAUCCAACCGUGUGCAUGAUUGGUGAGGAUGUCGGUGACUAUGGAGGUUCAUACAAGGUAUCCAAAGGCUUGUCUGAGAUGUUUGGAGACCUCCGCGUCCUUGAUACCCCUAUUGCUGAGAACUCUUUUACUGGUAUGGGAAUCGGAGCAGCAAUGCAGGGGCUCAGGCCAGUUGUUGAAGGGAUGAACAUGGGUUUCCUUCUCCUUGCCUACAACCAAAUCUCAAACAACUGCGGUAUGCUUCCUUAUACCUCGGGCGGCCAGUUCAAAAUCCCAAUUGUGAUCCGAGGCCCUGGCGGUGUUGGUCGUCAGCUUGGUGCGGAGCACUCGCAGCGCCUUGAGUCCUACUUCCAGUCUAUCCCGGGCAUUCAAAUGGUCGCUUGCUCUACCCCUUACAAUGCGAAGGGCCUUCUGAAGGCUGCCAUAAGGAGCGAUAACCCUGUGGUGCUGUUCGAGCAUGUCCUUCUGUACAACCUGAAGGAGAAGAUCCCCGACGAGGAAUACAUCUGCUCCCUGGAGGAGGCCGAGAUGGUGCGUCCAGGCUCGCAGCUGACCAUCCUGACAUACUCCCGCAUGAGGUACCACGUGAUGCAGGCCGUCAAGACGUUGGUGAACAAGGGGUACGACCCGGAGGUGAUCGACAUCAGGUCGCUGAAGCCGUUCGACCUGCACACCAUAGGGAACUCCAUCAAGAAGACCCACCGCGUGCUGAUCGUGGAGGAGUGCAUGCGGACAGGCGGCAUCGGCGCCAGCCUGAGGUCGGCCAUCAUCGACAACUUCUGGGACGAGCUGGAUGCUCGCCCCGUGUGCCUGUCGUCGCAGGACGUGCCGACCCCGUACGCCGCGACCCUGGAGGACGCGACCGUUGUGCAGCCCGCGCAGAUCGUGGCCGCGGUGGAGGAGAUCUGCCAAUAG